UGGUCAUAUACCAAGGCUUUCAGGAUCCGAUGUUCCUGACUUGCUGUGGAGUUGACCAGAAAUUAAAAACCAUCCCAGUGAGCCUCUAGCAGCAUUUUGUAGGAGACUCACUGGGGACAUGA
ensembl:snoRNA